AUUUGCGGAGUUCAAACUGACUCGCAAUGCAACCUGACUCGCAAUGCAACGAAUUGAAGGAGUUCAAACUGCAGACAGCGCUUACUGCUUACAUCCUCAACAAAAGCAAAUGGCAACCAUACGUACCCCACGUUCAAAUAUUUGAAUAACUAUUCUCCCUCAUGGCGCGUGGGCUACAGCCACCUGAAUCUAACACAAUCCCUGCAUUCAAUUACAUUCUGGACUUCUUUUCCCCGAAUUCUGGAUCAACUUGUGAAACCAACAAUUACCGUCAUCUGACAUUUCUCGGCCUUCAAAAAUAACAAUAUUGAAACAAGGAAAAAAGGAGGAAAAAUGGAAAAGAGCUCAGCUUCACCAAAUGAUUCAUUUACUAGUGUCAUGACACUUACUGAAGAGGGUCUAACCAAAGUUCCCAAAUGUUACAUUCUUCCGCCAUCCUUACGCCCUGAUGGAACCCAGUCUAACACAUGCCUGCCAAUUGUAGAUCUAUCCUUUCUGCGACAGCCUCUUCAUCGGGCUCGGAUAAUCGAGGAAGUACACCUGGCUUGCAAGGAACUAGGUUUCUUCCAGGUACUUCUCUCGUGUCAUGUCACCUGCAAUCAUGUACUAAAAUGAUAUUGCUUUUAAUCCUAUUUUGUUACAUAUAAAGUUCCUUCAUGCUGAUAUGAUUCGAGGAAGAACAAUAUACACACACCACGUAAAUAAAAGAUGUUGUCAGAUUCCCCAUAAAGAGACGAAAGCAUUUGGAAAUUAAGAAAAAGAAACUUCAUGCAGCACACAUGGUGCAUUUGGUUUCUAGAGAUAUCUCCUCCUCCCCCUUCUCUCUUCCCUUUAAUAUUCAGUUGAUAAGUUCAAAGAGAUGUCCUAGAUUUUAGAUACAUAGCGGUUUAACAGGAAAGAGAAUAAGACGUGCUUCGCUAAUUCAACCUGGACGUAAAAUAAUAGCAUGCAUGCAAUAAAUGACUCUGCAGGUAGUCAACCAUGGAAUCCCAUUGUCAGUCAUGAAAGAUGCCUUAGAAGCUGCGACUGAGUUCUUCGAUUUACCAACUGAAAAGAAAAUGCAUCUCUUGUCUUCAAAUGUUCAUGAUCCCGUAAGGUAUAAUACCAGCCUAAAUGAUGUCAAAGACAAAGUAUCCUUUUGGAGAGACUUCCUCAAGCACUAUGCUAAUCCAAUCUCAAAUUGGAUUGAUUUGUGGCCAUCAAAUCCCACAUGCUACAAGUAACUUUUGCACCCUUAUCUGAAAUGAUUUCUGAUAGAUAUAUUACAAGUAAGUUUUGCACCCUUGUCUGAAAUGAUUUCUGAUAGAUAUAUUUUGUCACUGUUCAAGAAUAAUAUAACUAUAAGUACCUAAAGCAGUUUAUCAUGCAGGGAGAAAAUGGGAAAUUACACUAUCGCAGCACAAAAGUUGCAAGAAGAACUCAUGGGAGUGAUAUUUGAGAGCUUAGGACUAAACCCUAGUUACUUACAUGAAGACAUUGCAGAAGGCUCCCAGGUCAUGGUCGUUAACUGCUAUCCAGCAUGUCCUGAGCCAGAUCUUACACUAGGCUUGCCACCACACACAGAUUAUGCUUUGCUAUCGAUCAUUCUUCAAAAUCAUCAGGGCUUGCACAUCAUGGAUCAUGAUGGAAAGUGGCAUUCAGUUCCAGUCAUAGAAGGAGCCCUCGUUGUUCAGCUGGGAGAUCACAUGGAAGUAUUGAGCAAUGGUCGAUACAAAGCCAUUAAUUGCUAUCCAGCAUGUCCUGAGCCAGAUCUUACACUAGGCUUGC
rnacentral:lncRNA from 1 species